AGAGUUUGAUCAUGGCUCAGGAUGAACGCUAGCGGCAGGCUUAACACAUGCAAGUCGAGGGGUAUAGGUUUUCGGAUCUAGAGACCGGCGCACGGGUGCGUAACGCGUAUGCAAUCUACCUUUUGCAGAGGGAUAGCCCAGAGAAAUUUGGAUUAAUACCUCAUAGUAUAUAGAGUUGGCAUCAACAUUAUAUUAAAGUCACAACGGCAAAAGAUGAGCAUGCGUCCCAUUAGCUUGUUGGUAAGGUAACGGCUUACCAAGGCUACGAUGGGUAGGGGUCCUGAGAGGGAGAUCCCCCACACUGGUACUGAGACACGGACCAGACUCCUACGGGAGGCAGCAGUGAGGAAUAUUGGACAAUGGGCGCAAGCCUGAUCCAGCCAUGCCGCGUGCAGGAUGAGGCAUCUAUGGUGUGUAAACUGCUUUUAUACGAGAAGAAACAACAUUACGUGUAAUGUCUUGACGGUAUCGUAAGAAUAAGGACCGGCUAACUCCGUGCCAGCAGCCGCGGUAAUACGGAGGGUCCAAGCGUUAUCCGGAAUCAUUGGGUUUAAAGGGUCCGUAGGCGGUCUUAUAAGUCAGUGGUGAAAUCUCCCCGCUCAACGGGGAAACGGCCAUUGAUACUGUAAGACUUGAAUUAUUAGGAAGUAACUAGAAUAUGUAGUGUAGCGGUGAAAUGCUUAGAGAUUACAUGGAAUACCAAUUGCGAAGGCAGGUUACUACUAAUGGAUUGACGCUGAUGGACGAAAGCGUGGGUAGCGAACAGGAUUAGAUACCCUGGUAGUCCACGCCGUAAACGAUGGAUACUAGCUGUUGGGAGCAAUCUCAGUGGCUAAGCGAAAGUGAUAAGUAUCCCACCUGGGGAGUACGUUCGCAAGAAUGAAACUCAAAGGAAUUGACGG
rnacentral:rRNA from 1 species